rnacentral:rRNA from 1 species
CACUCCUACGGGAGGCAGCAGUGGGGAAUUUUACGCAAUGGGGGAAACCCUGACGUAGCGACACCGCGUGAGCGAAGAAGCCCUUUGGGGUGUAAAGCUCUGUCAGCUGGAACGAAAACAAUGACGGUACCAGCAGAGGAAGCAUCGGCUAACUACGUGCCAGCAGCCGCGGUAAGACGUAGGAUGCGAGCGUUGUCCGGAUUUAUUGGGCGUAAAGAGUUCGUAGGUGGUUUGUUAAGUUUGGUGUUAAAGAUCGGGGCUCAACCCUGGGACUGCACUGAAUACUGGCAGACUCGAGUGUGGUAGAGGCUAGUUGAAUUCCCAGUGUAGCGGUGAAAUGCGUAGAUAUUGGGAAGAACACCGGUGGCGUAGGCGACUAGCUGGGCCAUAACUGACGCUGAGGAACGAAAGCCAGGGGAGCGAAUGGGAUUAGAAACCCGGGUAGUCCC